rnacentral:lncRNA from 1 species
UACUUUUUCUUUAAGGUCUAUAUUAUUUUGCUGCUUGCUAGCUUUUGUUCAACAUAGUUUGAUCACUUUUUGGGGGGCUGAGGAGUCUUAUGGUUUGUUGCGAGAUACUCCUGAUGCUUUGAUUAUUUACUGCUUCAAUUCACAACAGUUGCUUCUUUUCCUCUUGUCCUUGGGUCUUAGAAAAAUGACCGAUGAGGAUCUUAAGGUAUCUGUGGAAUAGACUCAACCAUGACAUGCUAAGCUUUUAUUAACAUUUAUAGCAUCUGACAAUUUCUCCUGCACCGAGCUUGGGAAAGAGGAAGAGCUGACACACAUUAGAAAAAAAAAAAGAGAAAAGAAGAAAAGACUCUUCUCUUUUCCGUCCCCCUCCAAAAUUCUAUUUUCUUUAAUUUUUUCUCAAAAAAUCGUGCCACUUUCCACUUGACUUUGGCUCGAUUUAUAGCUGAAAUGAUUCACCAAUUCGAACACGCCAUCUUCACGCUGCUCUUCAUCUCGAACACGCCAUCUGCUGCCUCCUGCCUCACUGCCACAUGCAGAAGAUAAAGAAAUAUAACCCUCUUCCCUCUUUCACUCUCUUCUCUUAUCCAUUCCCCUCCAAUCCUGAUAAUUUGAAACACCGGGCCAUUUUCUUGAAUAACUUGACACUCUAAACUUCCACCAUUAAAGCCUUCUCUUUCUACAUCAGAUGAUGCGAAUCCCUUUUCUCAACAUCCUUCGCUUUUCAAAUAAAUGGUUCCCCUCGAAACUUCAAUUCAAAAGUUUUUGUUUUUGUUUGUCUUCUUGUUGUCUCUCAGUUCUCGUUUUGUUGCUUCGUAUAUUUAUUGGCUUAUUAUUAUUAUUUUUUUAAAAUUUCGUUUUGUGGUGUUAGGUUGUUAAAACGGCGGACAUGGCUGAAGUGGGCAAGAUGGAGAACGGUGAGGUGGCUGUGGAGACAAGCGUGGGCUUGAGAACAGCAAGGAAACUUUGGAGGAGUUGAAACUCAAUCCUCUCAUAGGAUUAUAAGAUUUUCAGGUGCACCUCAUUAUGUGUAAAUCCUUUUACUGUUAAUUUUUCUUCUUCCUUUUGCAAAAUAUCUCCUUUUUGCUAUGUGGAUAUGUGAUAAUAGUUUCAAUUUGAUCGACUUUAUGUAGUGUCAUCAUAGUAAAAGAUAGGAGAACUAUAUCACACAAACGAUCAUGUAUGAGUAUAUGUUAUUUAAUCUCUUAUUUUUUAUUUUGAAAUUAUUUAAAUUUAAUUCAUAAAACUACUUCAUUUUUGAUUAAUUAAUAACCAGUUUAUUAGUUAUCAUUGAUAUAUAAAAUUUUUAAUUAUUAGUUACCUAGUUUGAGAAGGAGCAAAAGUAAUUCGCAUGUAUAUUGAUGCAUAAUCGACCUUGCUUUUUAAUCCUGAACUUUGAAGUGACGGUAAAAUGUGCUUUUUCAUUAUUUUCUUGAUUUGGUUUCCAUAUCUUACUGAUUUGAUUUACAAUAUUUUUGUGUGGCUCUAGGAUCAGGGUCAAACUCCCCUCGCAAUUGCUGCCUGCUUGUAAAGCACAAUCGGGCACAUCAGUUUCAAAUCUCUGUCCAAUGUGAGUUUUUGAAUGUAACUGAAAAUAUUGUAUUUAUUUUUUGUUUUAUCAUUUUUCAUCGUAUUCUAUAAUUAUAUUAUUGCACAUGCUUAAAUUUAUAAUUAGAUAACAAGAAAUAAAUGAAAGUAGAAAAUUUAAUUUUAAAUUUAAAAAUAAUAUGGCUAAAUAGGAAAGAAAAAUAAAAUAGUAUCCAUAUUUUUUUUAAUAAUAAGCCCAUAAAAAGAAAUAUAGAAGCCAAAAAUAUAUAGAUACGGAAAUGAAAUAAUUAAAUAAAUUGCAUCAAAAUUAAUUAUAAAAAUUAAGGCCAUAUAAAAAUGUAUAAACAAGAAAUUCCGUAGAUAAGAAAAUGAUCCAGAGUUAUAUAAAUAUAGAAAACAAAAAAAUUAAUUAUUAAAUAAAAAGUUUAUAUUAAAAAAUUAAAAUUUAGGAUAAUUUCUAGUUGUUUUAAUCUUAAAAUUUUUAAAUUAAUUUAUAAUUUUUUAUAUGAUAGUUUAGGGUUUAGGGUUUAGGGUUUAGGGUUUAGGGUUUAGGGUUUAGGGUUUAGGGUUUAGGGGUUAGGGUUUAGGGUUUAGGGGUUAGGGGUUUGGGGUUAGGGGUUAGGG